rnacentral:rRNA from 1 species
UACGGAGGGUGCAAGCGUUAUCCGGAUUCACUGGGUUUAAAGGGUGUGUAGGCGGAUUUUUAAGUCAGUGGUGAAAUCUCCGGGCUCAACCCGGAAACUGCCAUUGAUACUAUUAGUCUUGAAUUCUGUUGAGGUGGGCGGAAUACAUCAUGUAGCGGUGAAAUGCUUAGAUAUGAUGUAGAACAUCGGUGGCGAAGGCGCUCUGCUGGACCAUAACUGACACUCAGGGACGAAAGCUAGGGGAGCGAAUGGG